AUUGAACGCUGGCGGCAGGCCUAACACAUGCAAAUCGAGCGAGCCGCGGACGUGUGAGUAAUGUCUGUGAAACUGCCUGUAGGAGGGGGAUAACUACUGGAACCGGUAGCUAAUACCGCAUACCAUCAGAUGUGCCCAGAUGGGCUUAGCUAGGAGGUGGGGUAAUGGCUCACCUAGGCGACGAUCCCUAGCUGGUCUGAGAGGAUGACCAGCCAAACUGGAACUGAGACACGGUCCGUACUCUUACGGGAGGCAGCAGUGGGGAACAUUGCCCAAUGGGGGAAGGCUGGCUGCAGCAAUGCCGGGGGGAGGAAGAAGGCCUUCGGGGUGUAAAGUAUUUUCAGCGAGGAGGCGUUACCCACAGAAGAAGCACCGGCUAACUCCGUGCCAGCAGCCGCGGUAAUUC
rnacentral:rRNA from 1 species